rnacentral:rRNA from 1 species
CCCGACAAGGGGAGUGAAAGAGUACCUGAAACCGAUUGCCUACAAACAGUGGGAGUCCGCAAGGAUGACCACGUACCUUUUGUAUAAUGGGUCAGCGACUUAGUGUGACGAGCAAGCUUAAACCGGUAGGUGUAGGCGCAGCGAAAGCGAGUCUGAACAGGGCGUUCAGUUCGUCGCAUUAGACCCGAAACCGAGUGAUCUAGCCAUGAGCAGGUUGAAGGUAAGGUAACACUUACUGGAGGACCGAACCCAUAACUGUUGCAAUAGUUCGGGAUGACUUGUGGCUAGGGGUGAAAGGCCAAUCAAACUCGGAAAUAGCUGGUUCUCCGCGAAAUCUAUUUAGGUAGAGCGUCGACCGAAUACCCCAGGGGGUAGAGCACUGGAUGGGCUAGGGGUCCUCACCGGAUUACCAAACCUAACCAAACUCCGAAUACCUGGGAGUACUAGUCGGCAGACACACGGCGGGUGCUAACGUCCGUCGUGAAAAGGGAAACAACCCUGACCUACAGCUAAGGUCCCCAAGUUAUGGCUAAGUGGGAAAGGAUGUGAGGAUCCCAAAACAACCAGGAUGUUGGCUUAGAAGCAGCCAUCAUUUAAAGAAAGCGUAACAGCUCACUGGUCUAAAUAAGGGUCUUUGCGCCGAAAAUGUAACGGGGCUAAAGCCAUACACCGAAGCUUAGGGUUCGUGAGCAAUCACGAGCGGUAGCGGAGCGUUCUGUAAGCUGAUGAAGCCGUACCCGUGAGGGGCGGUGGAGGUAUCAGAAGUGCGAAUGCUGACAUGAGUAACGUAAGGGGAGUGAGAGACUCCCCCGCCGAAAGACCAAGGGUUCCUGCUUAAAGUUAAUCUGAGCAGGGUUAGCCGGCCCCUAAGACGAGGCGGAAACGCGUAGUCGAUGGGAACCACGUUAAUAUUCGUGGGCCUGGAGGUAGUGACGGAUCACACAAGUUGUCCAAUCUUAUCGGAUUGAACGGGCAGCGGAGUGGUUCCAGGAAAUAGCUCCUCCUUAUAGACCGUACCCGAAACCGACACUGGUGGUCAGGUAGAGUAUACCAAGGCGCUUGAGAGAACUAUGCUGAAGGAACUCGGCAAAUUGCACGCGUAACUUCGGAAGAAGCGUGACCCUUUUCUACGCAAGUGGAGGAGGGUGGCACAGACCAGGGGGUAGCGACUGUUUAUCAAAAACACAGGGCUCUGCGAAGCCGCAAGGCGACGUAUAGGGUCUGACGCCUGCCCGGUGCUGGAAGGUUAAGAGGAGGGGUGCAAGCUCUGAAUCGAAGCCCCAGUAAACGGCGGCCGUAACUAUAACGGUCCUAAGGUAGCGAAAUUCCUUGUCGGGUAAGUUCCGACCUGCACGAAUGGCGUAACGACUUCCCCGCUGUCUCCAGCAUAGACUCAGUGAAAUUGAAUUCCCCGUGAAGAUGCGGGGUUCCUGCGGUUAGACGGAAAGACCCCGUGCACCUUUACUAUAGCUUUACAUUGGCAUUCGUAGUGGCAUGUGUAGGAUAGGUGGUAGGCUUUGAAGCCUGGGCGCCAGCUCAGGUGGAGCCACCCUUGAAAUACCACCCUUAUUACUAUGGAUGUCUAACCGCGGCCCGUUAUCCGGGUCCGGGACAAUGUAUGGUGGGUAGUUUGACUGGGGCGGUCGCCUCCUAAAGAGUAACGGAGGCGCGCGAUGGUGGGCUCAGAACGGUCGGAAAUCGUUCGCUGAGUGCAAUGGCAUAAGCCUGCCUGACUGCGAGACUGACAAGUCGAGCAGAGACGAAAGUCGGUCAUAGUGAUCCGGUGGUCCCGCGUGGAAGGGCCAUCGCUCAACGGAUAAAAGGUACGCCGGGGAUAACAGGCUGAUGACCCCCAAGAGUCCAUAUCGACGGGGUUGUUUGGCACCUCGAUGUCGACUCAUCGCAUCCUGGGGCUGGAGCAGGUCCCAAGGGUAUGGCUGUUCGCCAUUUAAAGCGGUACGUGAGUUGGGUUCAGAACGUCGUGAGACAGUUCGGUCCCUAUCUGCCGUGGGUGUAGGAAUAUUGAAAGGAUCUGUCCCUAGUACGAGAGGACCGGGAUGGACGGAUCUCUGGUGGACCUGUUGUGGCGCCAGCCGCAUCGCAGGGUAGCUAUAUCCGGACGGGAUAACCGCUGAAGGCAUCUAAGCGGGAAACCCACCUUGAAACGAGUAUUCCCUGAGAACCGUGGAAGACGACCACGUUGAUAGGCCGGGUGUGGAAGAGCGGCAACGCUUGAAGCUUACCGGUACUAAUAGUUCGAUAGGCUUGAUCGUUCUCAUU